rnacentral:rRNA from 1 species
AGGGUUUGAUCCUGGCUCAGGACGAACGCUGGCGGCGUGCUUAACACAUGCAAGUCGAGCGAUGAGAUCCCUUCGGGGAAGGAUUAGCGGCGAACGGGUGAGGAACACGUGAAGAAUCUGCCUUCAACUCUGGGAUAACACCGGGAAACCGGUGCUAAUACCGGAUAUGAGCCUUGAUCGCAUGAUCGGGGCUGGAAAGUUUUUCGGUUGAAGAUGACUUCGCGGCCUAUCAGCUAGUUGGUGAGGUAAUGGCUCACCAAGGCGACGACGGGUAGCCGGCCUGAGAGGGCGACCGGCCACACUGGGACUGAGACACGGCCCAGACUCCUACGGGAGGCAGCAGUGGGGAAUAUUGGGCAAUGGACGAAAGUCUGACCCAGCGACGCCGCGUGCGGGAUGAAGGCCUUCGGGUUGUAAACCGCUUUCAGCAGGGAAGAAGCGAAAGUGACGGUACCUGCAGAAGAAGCACCGGCUAACUAUGUGCCAGCCGCCGCGGUAAUUC